CCCCAGACUCCUACGGGAGGCAGCAGUGGGGAAUAUUGCACAAUGGGGGAAACCCUGAUGCAGCGACGCCGCGUGAGCGAUGAAGUAUUUCGGUAUGUAAAGCUCUAUCAGCAGGGAAGAAGAUGACGGUACCUGACUAAGAAGCCCCGGCUAACUACGUGCCAGCAGCCGCGGUAAUACGUAGGGGGCAAGCGUUAUCCGGAUUUACUGGGUGUAAAGGGAGCGUAGACGGCGAUGCAAGCCAGAUGUGAAAGCCCGGGGCUCAACCCCGGGACUGCAUUUGGAACUGUGUGGCUGGAGUGUCGGAGAGGCAGGCGGAAUUCCUAGUGUAGCGGUGAGAUGCGUAGAUAUUAGGAGGAACACCAGUGGCGAAGGCGGCCUGCUGGACGAUGACUGACGUUGAGGCUCGAAAGCGUGGGGAGCAAACAGGAUUAGAUACCCCAGUA
rnacentral:rRNA from 1 species